CCUACGGGGGGCAGCAGUGGGGAAUAUUGCACAAUGGGGGAAACCCUGAUGCAGCGACGCCGCGUGAGUGAAGAAGUAAUUCGUUAUGUAAAGCUCUAUCAGCAGGGGAGAAAAUUACGGUACCUGAGUAAGACGCCCCGGCUAACUCCGUUCCAGCAGACGCAGUACUGCGCCGGGGGCCAGCGUUAUCCGGAGUUACUGGGUGUAACGGGAGCGUAGACGGCUGUGCAAGUCUGGAGUGAAAGGCGGGGGCUCAACCCCCGGACUGCCGUGGAAACUGUAGGGCUGGAGUGCAGGAGAGGUAAGUGGAAUUCCUAGUGUAGCGGUGAAAUGCGUAGAUAUUACGAGGAACACCAGUGGCGAAGGCGGCUUACUGGACUGGAACUGACGCUGAGGCUCGAAAGCGUGGGGAGCAAACAGGAUUAGAUACCCUUGUAGUC
rnacentral:rRNA from 1 species